rnacentral:tRNA from 1 species
UUAAUGAGUAGCUUAUCUUAAAGCCUAGUAUUGAAGAUACUAAGAAGUUUCUUUUCCUUAUUAAU